GGGGGUGUAAUGGCUUCGACAUGCAUAAAUCAACAGUGGUUGCAGUAGUCUGGCAGACUAUAAUGCUUCUAGGUUUCUUUAAACGGAAAUGAAAAAUCAGAGAAAGCUACUUUCUCACCAAUGUUCGCAAUGAACAACUCAAAUCUUGCUUUUGCUUAAUUAAAAGUAAGUCGCAACCUUUUGUUCCUAGGUAAAGGCUUGUGGGUUUAUAGGAUCGGAAGUUUGAUUCCAAAUAAGAGCUUCUUAAAUUUCUUUUGGACGCUUAUUUAAGGUGUUGUUUGUUGUCCUUAAAUAACUGUACUAAUCGACAAUCUAAACUGUAGACGCUGCUGUGAAGUUUAUGUGUGGACACGGGUUCAAUUCCCGUCAUCUCCACCA
rnacentral:tmRNA from 1 species